rnacentral:rRNA from 1 species
UAGAACUAGCAAUACAGGAUAAACUAAACGUAGGGUUAAGGUGCUAGAAUGCACGCUUAUUAGACACUAUAAAAGGUGUUAGUUUAUCUAGACAGCAGGAUAGUAGCUAUAGAAGUUAGAAUCUACUAAGGAGUGUGUAAUAACUUACCUGCUAAAUAAACUAGCCCUAAAAAUAGAUAGCGCUUAAGCGUGUUACCUAUACCCUGCUACUAGGGCAAGAUUUAAGCCCUAGCAAGUAGGCAGGCGUAGAGGCUCGUAACAAAGCCUUAGGGGUAACCCUAGGUAGAACAGCCUCUAGUAUAGAUCUUAGUAGUAGUAGCAAAUACUUAAAUAAGAACUUUAAGGACUAAAGUAGGGAAAGGUUCUAUAUAAAUAGUAGUUAGACACAGGUUAGUUAAUCCUAAGAGAUAGGGUAAUUCUAUUUUAAUAUUAGCGCUUGCGCUACGCCCUUAAAAGGGAAGCUAGUUAAUAUUCUAGCACCUAGAUAUAGAUUCUCUACGGCAACGUAACUAAGAGCGGAGACCUUAGUAGGAGCCCUAAGAAGAGUUCUCUUUUCUUCUUAAUAGUCUAUUACCCUAAAAUUAGUUUAUCUAGAGCUAGGGUUUAAUAGCUAGAAGAGCGCUACACUUUUGUAGUAUUUAGUAUACUCCUAAUAAGCCUUAAAAAUCAACUUAAAGAAAUAGUUUUUACGCUAGGUUGUACUUAUAACUAUAGCAGGUCUCUAAGGUAAAAAGCCUCUAGUUAAUAGAAUAAUAUAGAUAAGAGAAGUUAGCAAAAUAGAUCUAUAACUUUAGGAAAAGGAUUAGCUCUAAGGGUUAGGUACGUUAGGCCUUAGGGAGAAGCCUCUAGCGCAGAAGGGCACUAACCGCAAGGUAGGCGCCUCUUAGCGCUAGGGUGCAGACACCCUUAGUAGGUUUUAGCUAUCUAGCGUACGUUUAACAACUAACUUAGAACUAGUAUAGAUAAGGGGAAUCUAACUAUCUAAUUAAAACAUAGCAUUAUAAUAGCUAGAAAGUAGUAUUAACGCAAUGUAAUUUCUGCCUAGUGCUCUAAAUAUUAAAGCAAAGAGAUUUAACUAAGCGCAGGUAAAUAGCAGGAGUAACUAUAACUCUCUUAAGGUAGCUAAAUACCUUGUUAUCUAAUUAGUAACGCGCAUAAAUAGAUUAACAAGAUUCCUACUAUCCCUAUCUACUAUCUAGCAAAACUAUAGCUAAGGGAACAGGCUUAGCUAAAUUAGCGGGGAAAGAAGACCCUAUUAAGCUUAACUCUAGUUUAACAUUAUAAAAAGAUAUAGGGGGUGUAGAAUAGGUAGGAGCUUUAGCGCUAGUGAAAUACUACUACCCUUAUUGUUUUUUUACUUAUUUAAUAAAGCAGAGCUAGGCCUUACUACCUAACUUCUAGCGUUUAAGGUCCUUUGUAGGCUAAUCUAGGUUAAAGAUAUUGUUAGGUAGGGAGUUUAGCUACAGCAGCACAUCUAUUAAACUAUAACGUAGUGUGCCGUAGUAAGGGAUAUAUAGGAGAAAAACAAGGCUUAGCCUAAAAGGUUAGGUGGAUUGAAUAGUAUAAAGGUAUAAAGGAUUAGAGGAUAGGAUAGGUAUAAUUCCUGCAGACUUUACUUUAACUCUAUAAUAUUAUCUUUUUACUUAUGUUUCUAUAUUAAACCUAUAUCCUCUACUAUAGGGUCACUACUAUUAAACCUUGCCCCUCCUACUUCUCCUUGUUUAAAUAGGUUACUCUCCCUGUUAGUUUAAAUAGCAAAGCCUAAGGGGAACUUAUCUUAUCUUAGUAAAGGGGAGGGCCUAGUAGCAUGCAACCAAGAGGACGUUUCUCUAAGUAUAAGGAGGGCAGAGAAAAAUUAAAAAAUAGGUGGUAUUAAUAAUUAAUAUUAUUAAGGCCAAAAUAGUAGGCCUAUAUUAGGACGUAGCUAACGCGCGUUAGU